CCUACGGGAGGCAGCAGUGGGGAAUUUUGGACAAUGGGCGCAAGCCUGAUCCAGCCAUGCCGCGUGUGGGAAGAAGGCCUUCGGGUUGUAAACCACUUUUGUCAGGGAAGAAACGGCUCUUACUAAUAUUAGGGGCUAAUGACGGUACCUGAAGAAUAAGCACCGGCUAACUACGUGCCAGCAGCCGCGGUAAUACGUAGGGUGCAAGCGUUAAUCGGAAUUACUGGGCGUAAAGCGUGCGCAGGCGGCUUUGCAAGACAGAUGUGAAAUCCCCGGGCUCAACCUGGGAACUGCAUUUGUGACUGCAUGGCUAGAGUACGGUAGAGGGGGAUGGAAUUCCGCGUGUAGCAGUGAAAUGCGUAGAUAUGCGGAGGAACACCGAUGGCGAAGGCAAUCCCCUGGACCUGUACUGACGCUCAUGCACGAAAGCGUGGGGAGCAAACAGGAUUAGAUACCCUGGUAGUCCACGCCCUAAACGAUGUCAACUGGUUGUUGGACGGCUUGCUGUUCAGUAACGAAGCUAACGCGUGAAGUUGACCGCCUGGGGAGUACGGCCGCAAGGUUGAAACUCAAAUGAAGUUGCGG
rnacentral:rRNA from 1 species